rnacentral:tRNA from 1 species
GCAUUAAAAUCCGUUGGCUUUUUAGACCGUGAGGGUUCAAGUCCCUCUACCCCCA